GCUUGUCUCAAAGAUUAAGCCAUGCAUGUCUAAGUAUAAACUGCUUAUACUGUGAAACUGCGAAUGGCUCAUUAAAUCAGUUAUAGUUUAUUUGAUGGUACCUCUACUCGGAUAACCGUGGUAAUUCUAGAGCUAAUACAUGCUGUUAAGCCUGACUUCUUGAAGGGCUGUAUUUAUUAGAUAACAGACCAAUAUUCCUCGUGUCUAUUGUGGUGACUCAUAGUAACUGAUCGGAUCGCACGGGCUUGCCCGCGACAAACCAUUCAAGUUUCUGCCCCAUCAGCUUUCGAUGGUAGUGUAUUGGACUACCAUGGCUUUUACGGGUAACGGAGGAUUAGGGUUCGAUUCCGGAGAGGGAGCCUGAGAAACGGCUACCACAUCUAAGGAAGGCAGCAGG
rnacentral:rRNA from 1 species